UACGGAGGGGGCAAGCGUUGUUCGGAUUUACUGGGCGUAAAGCGCACGUAGGCGGCUUUGCAAGUUAGAGGUGAAAGCCCGGGGCUCAACUCCGGAAUUGCCUUUAAAACUGCAUCGCUAGAGUUGUGGAGAGGUAAGUGGAAUUCCGAGUGUAGAGGUGAAAUUCGUAGAUAUUCGGAAGAACACCAGUGGCGAAGGCGACUUACUGGACACAUACUGACGCUGAGGUGCGAAAGCGUGGGGAGCAAACAGG
rnacentral:rRNA from 1 species